GACGUAGGGCGCGAGCGUUGUCCGGAAUUACUGGGCGUAAAGGGCGCGUAGGCGGCCUUCUAAGUCGAACGUGAAAUCCCUGGGCUCAACCCAGGAACUGCGUCCGAUACUGGAAGGCUUGAAUCCGGGAGAGGGAUGCGGAAUUCCAGGUGUAGCGGUGAAAUGACGUAGAUAUCAGGAGGAACACCGGUGGCGAAGGCGGUUCUCUGGGCAUUACCUGACGCUGAGGAGCGAAAGUGUGGGGAGGCGAACAGG
rnacentral:rRNA from 1 species